UACGUAGGGUGCAAGCGUUAAUCGGAAUUACUGGGCGUAAAGGGUGCGCAGGCGGCUUGGCAAGAAGGAUGUGAAAUCCCGGGGCUUAACCCCGGAACUGCAUUCUUAACUGCCGGGCUAGAGUAUGUCAGAGGGGGGUAGAAUUCCGCGUGUAGCAGUGAAAUGCGUAGAGAUGCGGAGGAAUACCGAUGGCGAAGGCAGCCCCCUGGGAUAAUACUGACGCUCAGGCACGAAAGCGUGGGGAGCAAACAGGAUUAGAUACCCUGGUAGUCCACGCCCUAAACGAUGUCAACUAGCUGUUGGGGCCUUCGGGCCUUAGUAGCGCAGCUAACGCGUGAAGUUGACCGCCUGGGGAGUACGGUCGCAAGAUUAAA
rnacentral:rRNA from 1 species